GACGAACGCUGGCGGCGUGCCUAACACAUGCAAGUCGAACGGAGUUGAAAGGAGCUUGCUUUUUUCAACUCAGUGGCGGACGGGUGAGUAACGCGUGAGUAACCUGCCUUUCAGAGGGGGAUAACGUUCUGAAAAGAACGCUAAUACCGCAUAAGAUUGUAGCUUCGCAUGGAGCAGCAAUCAAAGGAGCAAUCCGCUGAAAGAUGGACUCGCGUCCGAUUAGAUAGUUGGCGGGGUAACGGCCCACCAAGUCGACGAUCGGUAGCCGGACUGAGAGGUUGAUCGGCCACAUUGGGACUGAGACACGGCCCAGACUCCUACGGGAGGCAGCAGUGAGGGAUAUUGGGCAAUGGGGGAAACCCUGACCCAGCAACGCCGCGUGAGGGAUGACGGUUUUCGGAUUGUAAACCUCUGUCCUCUGUGAAGAUAGUGACGGUAGCAGAGGAGGAAGCUCCGGCUAACUACGUGCCAGCAGCCGCGGUAAUACGUAGGGAGCAAGCGUUGUCCGGAUUUACUGGGUGUAAAGGGUGCGUAGGCGGAUUGGCAAGUCAGAAGUGAAAUCCAUGGGCUUAACCCAUGAACUGCUUUUGAAACUGUUAGUCUUGAGUGAAGUAGAGGUAGGCGGAAUUCCCGGUGUAGCGGUGAAAUGCGUAGAGAUCGGGAGGAACACCAGUGGCGAAGGCGGCCUACUGGGCUUUAACUGACGCUGAGGCACGAAAGUGUGGGUAGCAAACAGGAUUAGAUACCCUGGUAGUCCACACUGUAAA
rnacentral:rRNA from 1 species